ACGUCGUCACAACGGCUUCCUGGCGUGACGAUACACAUCUAAUGGAGCA
rnacentral:ncRNA from 10 species